CUUGCUCCAAGUGAUUCGUAUAAAUAGGUCUGGGGAGUAGUUUGGAGAAUAGUAAGUUAGAGAAUAUUUAUUCAAGAAAUAUUCAUUGAGCAACUUCUAUCAUGCUGCAUGCUGACAAAACGCGGGGAUUAGAUCCUUCUGGCCUGCCGAAGCCCGCUGAGAACACAAAGGCACGCACGGAUAAACCCCAGAGGAGGGGGGCAGGCUCCCAUCAAGAUGAACAUUCCAGUGGAGAAGCCAGUGGCAGGCCCACCCAUCACCUGACAUCAUCCCUGUGAAUCAGGCACCAUCCUGUUGCCUGAGAAGCCACAAGUCUCAUUUGGCAAGAGUAUGGAUCCACAGCCGCAUUCAACUUUUCUAUAGUGUCUCUUGUGCCAAAGAUCCAAAGCUUCCUUGACGAAUUGUUUGAAGUGUGGCAUCCUCUCAGCCCCAAUCUUGCUCUGAAGCUCUGGGUACUGGAUAAUUAGAGACAAACCAAGAAUUUCUUAAAGAAGGAAUGAGACAAGCCAGCCAACGAGCCAAGAGAAAUUUCUGUUGUCACUUUCUUUCAGUGUGAUUUCCCCAGCAGCUGCUCUUUCCACAGCCUCAGCAGGAAGGUUGUGGCUGAGCAGAGAGCACAGCGGCCUCUGGGCCUGGGGCAGCAGCCAUGGUGUCCAGCUCUGAGUCUGCGGAGGCUUUUGUUCAAUUAUUGAUGUCUGGGGAAGGAAGCCUGGGCUGACUAUGCUGAGAUGGCUGCCGAGACCCAAAUGAAGCGGGGAAAGCUCCAGGAAGGGAGAAGAGGGGGCCUAGUGAGGUCAGUCCAUGUUUAUUGACGUGAAAACAUGUCCAGGAGAGGUGAGUACAUGAAAACACUGUUUACAGAAUGGCUCAAAGGUUGAGAUCAUUAUAUUCUGGCGUGUGUAUGUAAGAGAUUUGAUAGAUGUUCACCAAAAAAAGUGAGUGGUGAUUACUUCUGAGUGAUAGGAUUUUGAAUUAUUCCUAUUUUCUUUAGGCUUUCUGGAUUUCUUUACUAAUAAGUAAUUAUUGUUUUUCAAACCUGAAACACCAGUUCUGUUUGUGGCAGGAUGGGGACAGAAAGGAGGCGUAGACAGGGGUGUAUGGAAUAGCAGAAGCCAGUCAGUAGCUUUCAGACACAGACUGAGUUUUAAUUGUUGUUCAGGGGCUCGGUGCCUGGAGCCUUCA
rnacentral:lncRNA from 1 species